ACGGGUAUAUUUAGCAGCAGGCGGGAGUCCCAGCGGCCCUGGUUCAGAGGCAGGCGUCCUCCCCUUUCUCACCCGUCCGUGGCCCUCCCUCUCUCUGCCUCCUCCUCCUCCUCCUCCAAAAACACUCUUUGUCUGGUCUAAUUUCUUCAAUCUGUUGCAAUCACGAAUGCAUCCAAAUUACCACAUUUCCAUGUGCUGAUCAUAUGUUUGUGCUCCAAACUGAAGUAGCAUUGUCUCUUCAAAACAGGAGGGAAAGGCAGCGAGGAGAGAGACGGGAGGGGGGAAAGCCGAGGAGAGGGGCCCAGAGGUGGGUCCGGAGGGAUUCCGACGCGCCCAGGGUCCUCCUGCGCGAGGACCGGCCGCCUGGCCUUUGGAGCGGUGGCUUCAGCCGUCCAGCGUCCAGCUUCCGGCAGCGGCGUCCUCUCUCCACCCCCUCCAGCCCCCGCCGCCCUGAGCCUCGCUGCUCCUUUUUAAUAUCCACUUGGAGAUGCUUAACUUAGGCUCUUGGAAACCAACUCGCAGAGUCAAAUUCCUGGCGACUUCCAAAGUCUUUCAUUUUCCCCGUCCAGCGAUGCCGCGAUUUCCUGGGGUUUAAGUGUUUAAAAAGCCCAGUUCCUGCUGCCUGCCUCGCCUGCCUCUGGCCCCGCUGGCCCGGCUCUUCCUUGGCACCCCGACUGGGCUGGAUGGGGGAUGGCCACCUCCCCAGGCAUGCGGGCUGGGAGAAGGUUCCAGAGCACCUGCCCAGGAUGAACCCUACGAAGGUGCCCCUCUGCCGCUAGCCUAGCCUGCUGUGUCAGAGGGAGCUGCCGUCCCCACCCCAGCAGAGGCUUCCUGGAAGAUUCCUACCACAGAGCAUGAGUCAGUGCCUGCCCCCCAGAGGCCUCCAAGUUCACGAUCCCUGCCUCAGCACAGGUGAGUUAUGCGUGCCCAGGUAAGGCUCCGGUGUCGGUAUCGCUCUCAGCUGGCCGACAGAGCCAAAGGCCCCGAUGUGUCCCUGACACUUUGCCACCUGACCCCCUCCCUGCCUGGGACAGGACCCCCCAAUGCACUGGCCUACGGCAAGGGCAUUUCUUGCAGGAUUCGGGGGGUGGGGGUAUAAUCUCCAGCCUCCUGGGAGACACGGAAUAGCAACUGCCCCCUCCCAAGGAGCCUGAAGGGCAGCCCCACAGGACAGUCUGCACACACAGAAGGUGGGAACAGUGUCUUGGUCACGGCAGUGGGCUGAAUAAGGGCCCUAGUUCCUAGAACCCGCAACUGUGACCGAUUUGGAAAAGGGUCUCUAUAGGUGUGACUAAGUGAAGGAUGGGGACAGGGCCUUGGAUCACCCAGGUGGACCCUUAAGGCCAUCACAUGUUCCCAUGUAAGAGGGAGCUGUUGCUGCACGGAGCAGGACGGGGAACGUGGAGAGAGAGGGCGAGACUCCGCCUGAAGGCUGGGAGAGGCCCCGGGGCCUCCCCUGGCCUCUGGAGGGAGCCGGGAUUUGCAGACAACUCGAUUCAGACCAGCGAAGCUCAGGUCAGACGCGGUGCCUCCAGAGCCCUGGGAGGGCACAGCUGCGGAGUUUUAGCACCCAGUUUGGGGGAGCUCGCUACCGCAGCCAUGAGACCCCACAGCCAGCACCCCAGACGGAUCAAGAGGCACGUUCGCUGAGGCUGUUUUCUGUUACUCAGCCUCUAACCACGGACCCUCACUGACAGAGCAGUGAGAAUCGAGGGGGCCUGGGGGUGAGCUGUGUACUCUUCUGACUCUGAAAAAAACUCUGCUUUUUUCUCUGAUUACAGCUGUAAUGUUUGUUCACUGUAUUGAGUUUAGAAACCACAGGAAAAAUACAAAGAAGCCCUGUUAAUCCUACUCCAGCCUCUCCAGCACCGUGUCCCUCCUGCAGGCAAGCCAGGAAGGCCCCGGAGGCCACCGGCCUGGCCAGCUGGCGGAAACACGGGGAGUGGCCACGGCCAGGGCUGUGCCUGCUCUGGGUUCACUGCUGUGGUCUGUGCAGUGCCCAGCUCAGCCUUGACCCUCAGUUCUCCAUGGCAUAGCUGAGCUCAAGGUCUGUUUCUGCACUGUGCCUAAAAAUGCAAGCAUUCUGGCCCAAGCAGGGGACAACGUGAAACCAAAAGCCUGGCGGCGCCCAUUGGCUCCGAGGAGGCCCACGUUAGUCACGAGCCAGCUCCGAGCAGGGUGCGGAGGUAAGGCCAGGCUGCCAGGAGAAACGAGGCUCCCGCCCACUGCCUGUGGUGUCCAGGACUCAGGUGGGCAGCCUUCCAGGCUAGCCCAAGUCCCAGGAGUGGGUCCCACAUGCUCCUCCCUCGGCGGGACAGUGAGGAGGUAUCUGGGGCUGUGUAUCCCCUUACCCCGUCUCACACUCCCCGGGCAAUGACAGCGUAUUCGGCGCAGUGAGGCGUCCAAGACAGCUCAGUCUCCCAAGUGGACCUGGCUUGCCGCUCCGGGGAGGCAGGGCCCUGGGGCCACAGCUCUGGGAACUCACUGUGCCAGCCACAAGCCCCAGCUCCCACCCCCGGCCUGCCCCUAGUCAGGGUGCCGUCACCAACAGCCCCUUCCAGAAGAUUCAAAAGCAGCACCUCAGUCCUCACCUCACAUCAGAACACCCCUGGUGGCUUUGCCGGGUCACUGUCACAGUUCUCAGACCCUCCUAACUGCAGAGUGGCGCUCGCCGGCACAGAGCCCACUUGGAGAAGCAGCCAGGGGCCCGCGGAGGGUAAAGAGGGACGGUGAGGACCACUUCGCCUCUUAGACGUGGCCAGGCCCCAGGGCAGCCAGAACCUGCACGUAGGACCGAGGGCCCCACUCACUCUGCUUGGACCCUGCUCAGGGGACUUGGGAACCUUCACGGUGAGUGCCAGCUACAGGGACGUGCAGGCUCACUUUCAACAGUGACUUCCCCGAGCCAGGUGCUGCCGCACAUGCCUGGAAUCUUGCUGACUUGGGAAGCUGAGGCAGGAGGAUGGCAGAUUUGAGGUGAGCCUCUGCAACUUAGGAGACUCCCAAAAUAAAGUAAAAUACAAAGGGCUGAGGUUGUAGUCCAGCAGUAAAGGACCCUGGGCUUAAUACCUAACACCAAAAAUAAAUAAAUAAAAUAAAAGACUUUUCUGUUCAUUUCCUGCUUUUUCCCAAACUUGCCCACUUAAGUUUGCCCCCUCGAAUUAAAAAUAAAGGCGCUGGGUCCCAUGGCCCCGGGGUGCCGACCCGGCCACAGUUGCUGCUGCGGUACCCACCAAGCAGCCUCCAGCGCAGCCGAGACCCAGCCUCGGGGGCUGCAUCUUCUCUGGAAUCUUCUCGGCACUUUUUAUUAGACCUCAAGAUUCGUCUGCUCCCGAAUCAAUAAAAGCCAGCUCCUCUCUGCUCCCGGGGCUGCUGCAGGGUUCACUGGUGUCGAUGGCGUGGGCCAGCCGGCGGCUUUGGGAGCUCCUCCAGGUCAGCGUAGAAGGGGACCAAGGGGAUGGGAGAGGCAGCCCAGCCAGGGCGGAUUCCUCCGCUCACGGCCUCAUGCUCAGUCAUCCAGCCAGGGCUGCAGGAGCCAGAGCUGGCGCUUCACUCCUACAGGGGCCUCGGCUGGUGUCUGCUCAGAGCAGGAGAGACAGAGGCCAGGGGAGGCCGGGGGAGCCUGGGUCCCUCUUAGAGUGAGACAGGAGCUGGCGCUUCUACUUCCCACCGGGAGCCCAACUGCCUGCUCCGCAGGUGCCCAAGGACUGAAAGCCAGCGCGUGGUGCUCCCAACCAGCACCUGGCCACAGAGCUCUCUGCCAGGGUGUCAGUGCUCCAUGUCAGCCCAGGAGCCACCAGCGGCCAGUGUGCCUGGGCAGUGGGCAGGGCUCUGCACUCACGGUGUAACUUAAAUGUAAGCCCAGCGCUGCCUGACCACUCCAGCCCUUCUACUGUCUUCCUUGCCCUCCCUGGAGACAGUGGAUUGCCGUGACCUGCCUCCCCAGAAGGCAGGCAAAGGGGAGAGCUACUUCUCAGCCAAAGCCCAAGAAGGCCGAUACCUCUAUUUUAAGUUAACUUCUUUAUUUGUUCUUUUUAGGUGCAUAUGACGGCAGAGUGUCUGUUGACAUAAACACCUGGAGCAUGACCUCUAAUCAGCAUCCUGUCCUCGUGGUGUACCCGACGUGGGGCUUCCCGGGUGUGGAGUCAGCCAACCUUUUGUCUCCCCAGCCUUCUCUUCUCAGGGUCAGCUGGUCAGUGCCCACUGUCUGCUCUGCAAAAACCCCCUGUGGUCCAGAGGGGACAGAUGAACCAAGGCAACCUGCUCACAGGACGCCGCAACUGGAGCCAUUGUUAUCCUGCAGCCCAGCAGGGACCACAGGGAGGGGAGGGCUCUUUCCCAGAGGGAAUGCCUGCUGAGGUGAGCAGGGACAGGAACACCGACAGAGAGGUGGUCAGGGCCAGGCAGGGAGCAGUUCGAGCCUGGUGCUCGGGGCUUACAGUGGACACACGGGGUUGGGGAACACCCAGGGCUCUGUAAGUAAGAGGGCUGUGGCCAGGGUGAGGUGGUGGGAAAGGGUGAGGUGGCGGGAGUCUGGCAUGGGAGAAGGACAGUAAGUGUCCCCUGGCUGUGUAUAGGGAGGGGCUUGUGGCAGGGAGAUGGGGUGGGGAUGAGGACAUCUAUGGAGAGACCACCGAGGCCGGACCAGGACAUGACCAAGACCAUGAGCAGCUCACCAAGGGUCACUGAGGAGGGGGGGAUUGACCGGGGGUGCUGAGGAGGCAGAGGUCGACACUUGAGUACCGAGGGGGUGGCAAGGCUGGUGCUCUAGAGAAGAGAAGGCGGCGCAGGCAUCCAUGCAGGGAGAGGAGGGAAGGAGUGAGGUGCACCCGGGAGCCCAGAGGCAACGUCCCCAGCAGCAAACUUCCACCAGCCUGUCCCGCAGCGGCUCCUCCACAAGGCGGGCGUUGGCCCACGUGGCCGGGCACAGCAGCUAGCCACCCAACACAGGCCCAGAGCAGCCCCUCUGUGCUAAGGCACAUGGCACGGUGCCCCUGGAGACAGCUGGCGCUGGCUUGGCAGGCCCGCCCCACGGCCCUGCUGUCUCCUGGAGUGGUGGCAAUUCAACUGCUAGUUGCAGCCAAGUGUCACGGGUGUUAGGCCAACAGCUCCCUGGGUGGGGCCUGGCCAGGCGUCCCG